rnacentral:rRNA from 1 species
CGCGGCCUAUCAGCUUGUUGGUGAGGUAACGGCCCACCAAGGCUAUGACGGGUAGGCGGAGUGAGAGCUUGUUCGCCAACAGGGGCACUGAGACACGGGUCCCACUCCUACGGGAGGCAGCAGUCGAGAAUCUUGGACAAUGGGGGCAACCCUGAUCCAGCAAUGCCGCGUGCGGGAUGAAGGCCUUCGGGUUGUAAACCGCUUUUAUGGAGGAAGAAGCUUCGGCUGACGGUACUCCAUGAAUAAGGGGUCGCUAAACUCGUGCCAGCAGCGGCGGUAACACGAGCACCCCGAGCGUUAUCCGGAUUUAUUGGGCGUAAAGCGUUCGUAGCCGGUCUGGCAAGUCUCCGGUUAAAUACCUCGGGCUCAACCUGAGGAAUGCCGGGGAAACUGUCAGACUAGAGGGUGUCAGGGGUUGAUGGAACGCACGGUGGAGGGGUGAAAUCCGUUGAUAUCGUGCGGAACACCAAAAGCGAAGGCAUUCAACUGGGGCAACCCUGACGGUGAGGAACGAAAGCGUGGGGCGUAAAGAGGAUUAGAUACCCUCGUAAUCCACGCUGUAAACUUUGGGUGCUAGCUAUGUGAAGUGUCGACCCUUUACGUGGCGAAGCUAACGCGUUAAGCACCCCGCCUGGGGAGUACGG